GCGGGCGUGGCGGAAUGGUAGACGCAUGAGACUUAAAAUCUUUGGGCCGCAAGGCCGUGCGGGUUCGAGUCCCGCGGCCCGCACCA
rnacentral:tRNA from 2 species